rnacentral:tRNA from 4 species
GCGGGAAUAGCUCAGUUGGCUAGAGCGUCAGCCUUCCAAGCUGAAUGUCGCGGGUUCGAAUCCCGUUUCCCGCUCCA